rnacentral:rRNA from 1 species
UUUUAAUUGAAUGCUAAAAGAAUGGAAAUUUAAAAAAAAACUUUUUUAAAAAUAAAAAUUGAAUUUUUUUUAAUUUGUGCAAAAACAAUUAUUAUUAUUAAAGACAAGAAGACCCUAAGAAUUUAUGAUUUUGCAAUUAGAAUUUUUUUCAAAAAAUCUUGAUUGGGGCGAUCAAAAAAUAUUAAUAACUUUUUAAAUUUAAAUUGAUCUAUUAUUAAUAAACUAAUGAAUUAAAUACUCUAGGGAUAACAGCGUAAUAAUUUUUGAUAGAUCUUAUUGACAAAAUAGUUUGCGACCUCGAUGUUGGAUUAGGAUCCUUUUUUAAUGAAGAAGUUAAAAAAAGAAGUUUGUUCAACUUUUAAAUUCCUACUUGAUC